AACGGCCGUACCAUGCUGAAUAUACCGGUUCUCGUUAGAUCACCGAAGUCAAGCAUCAUUACUUGGUCAUCAUUCACGGUCAGUACUUGGGUGGGUGACCACCUGGGAACACCGCGUGCCGUU